UCACAAAAAAAGUAAAUAAGUACCUAUGUCAUUUAACGAAAAAUAUUUAAUUCUAUCUAUAAACGGAAAAGUGUCAAGAAUGGUCAGGGGUUAAAAUUAUGGAUUUCUUAAAUUAAAACCCAAGUGAGAACCGUAAAUUUUCAAUAGCGGACCGACUGUUGGAAGAUAAAAGUAACAACUCAAUAUAUAUCUAUAUAGAUAUAACUAAUUAAUCUUGGAAUUGGAAUAUAAAUCUCAUCGUCUUAGAUGAAACCAUACACACAUAAGUCUCGUGAGAACGAAACAACCUUUUGUUAAAUAGUGUAUAUCUAAGAAAGAGGGCGAUGAAUUUCGAAGAUAACACAAAAAAUAUCUGAUGUCAAAUAAAUAAUUUUCAAUUUCAGUUUAAAUUUAUCAAC